AGUGAACGCUGGCGGUAGGCCUAACACAUGCAAGUCGAACGGCAGCACAGUAAGAGCUUGCUCUUACGGGUGGCGAGUGGCGGACGGGUGAGGAAUACAUCGGAAUCUACUUUUUCGUGGGGGAUAACGUAGGGAAACUUACGCUAAUACCGCAUACGACCUACGGGUGAAAGCAGGGGAUCUUCGGACCUUGCGCGAUUGAAUGAGCCGAUGUCGGAUUAGCUAGUUGGCGGGGUAAAGGCCCACCAAGGCGACGAUCCGUAGCUGGUCUGAGAGGAUGAUCAGCCACACUGGAACUGAGACACGGUCCAGACUCCUACGGGAGGCAGCAGUGGGGAAUAUUGGACAAUGGGCGCAAGCCUGAUCCAGCCAUACCGCGUGGGUGAAGAAGGCCUUCGGGUUGUAAAGCCCUUUUGUUGGGAAAGAAAAGCGGCAGGUUAAUACCCCGCUGUCCUGACGGUACCCAAAGAAUAAGCACCGGCUAACUUCGUG
rnacentral:rRNA from 1 species